rnacentral:sRNA from 1 species
AUGGACCACGCGUCCACCGCGAUUCUGAGCGCGCCGUCCGCGCCCACCUGACAGCUGCUCGCUACCUUGUGUUAGCA